rnacentral:lncRNA from 1 species
AAAUGAAUUAAAUGAUUAAUUUUUCAAUUUUAUAAACCAAAUGUGAUUUAAUGAAAUGAUUUCAUAAAAUUAUUUUAAAAUUGAAUAAUGGCUUUGAAAAUAGAGUAAUUGGAGACCAUUUGAUGUAUUGUGAAUUUAUGGUUCUAAUUGAUUGGCUUAUGACAAUAUUGUCAUGAAUGGCUGAAUUGCUAUUUAUGUUGAAAUGUAUAAACUGUUGUUUGCCUUGAUAGGCUGGAUAAUGAUAAAAUUGUCAUAUCAUGCUGUUGAAUUUUUAUUGUAUGGUGGGUAUAGCUUGCUGCAAUGGGCUGGUUCUGUGGACUAGCCUAUUAGAGGGGCACAGAACUUGGUCAUAUUCUUACAUCGGUUGGAGAGGCGAGUAGGGUAACUCCCAAGGUAUAACUUUAGAGUUCACUUCACACCAAACCACCUCGUGAUGAUGAACUCCGCUAACGCUAAGGAACGGCUAUGUUUUUAAAAUAAAAACAUGAUUUAUGCGUACAUAACUUUUUAC